UUCAGUGAGACAGAAUCAGGGUCUCUCCUCCUUCUGAGGCUUGUAGAGAAAGAACGGUAACACUUACAGAUAAAAUGAAACCAUUCUGAAAAGCUGACAAAAAUUCCUACUUUUUGAGAUAUAAUUUGUUUCGGUACUCCAAACGGUCUGGGUGUUGGAAAGAGUUGUUUCCAGAAAAUGUGAAGGUCAAAAGUUAGAGUGCGGAAUUUUCAGUUUAGAGUGGUGAGAGACAUUUUUUUAAAUUCAAAUAUUCUCAAACAAAUGAACCGUACAACCACAUUGUUUGGAGUUUAUAGCUCAAAACGAAGGCAUAUCCGUUAGCUGCAAGCCAGCAUGCGUCUCAUUUCAAUCAGACUUACGGUUUUCUCAGGACAAUGCCAGAAAUGGAGCAAAGGAGGGUCAUUGCUCCUAUCUCUGCCCAUUAUAAUUUUGAGAUUUUUUCUGAAAAUUUCAAGCCGUAUCUCAACUUCUACCUGUGACUUUAGAAAAAUUGUAAUAGAUAUGUAAAAGAUUUUUUAACCAGUAAUAGCUGAAAGUCUUGUGAGUUUGUUGAAACUUGAAUGAAGUCUCUAGGUUAAAGUUAACCUAAAAGAGUAAGAGUUCAAAAAAGUGAUAGGAUUCAGCUGAAAAUUGAGCAAUCCCAUUCAUUUCAACGGGACCAAAAAUUGCCGAAAAAGCUGAAUAUCUCAAAAAGUAUAAAAUAUUUUAAUACCAAAAGUCAUUGCCGGCAUAAGCUGAAUGAGCUGAACGUUUUGAUGCCAAAAUUGUGUAAAUAGUUGAAGAAUUGUGGAAGUAGUUAAAUGCCAAAUAAUGUACGGAAGCAGAAUAAUAAUAAACUGACUAAUAACUAACUAUCUAUAAAGAGAAACAGGAUCACUAUAGUUUGAAUGCUUUACAGCAUUCAGACAAUAAAGAGAAGCAGGAAAACAAUAGUUUAUUCAAACAAUAAACCGACUAACUAUAAUAAAGAGAAACAGGAUCACUAUAUCUUAGGUGUUUUCUUGCUGUCGUAUCUUUAAUUCCAUUCUGUAGUUCUUUUUUUUAAAACACAGAGCAGUUUUGUUUACCGGUUUUCCCGCUACGUUUCGCUUGCGGCUGCAAACUUUAAAUGCUUUACAGCAUUCAAACAAUAAGGAACAUUCUGGAACUGUUUCUUCAUUUUCUUUCUUUUUUAAUUGAUCGAAAGUAUCGGACCGGGACUCGGUAUCGGCAGAUUCUCAAAAUCAAACGACUCGGACUCGAGGACAAAAAACCUGAUCGGGACAUACCUAGUUCAUCAUGUAACAAACCGCAUCUCAGGUCAGCUGCGUUAACGCACUUUUACACAGAUAGUCGUCCAGAAUAUUUAACUGAGGAUGUUUUUCUACUCAAAGUCAGUCUUCUUAAACUCAAACCAGGUGUGUAUAACCGAUGUUACCCUGUCUUCUUUACGAGCACGUCUCCGUCCACCUGCUGCAGAAACAGCUGCUGUGUUCACAGAAACGGGGAUCUGUGCUGCAAACUCCACAAUGAAUCUGCGUAUAUUUCAUACAGACUUGAACAAGUUUGUCGAAUGAUUUGUGCAAUAAUCAGAUUUUUAUUUUACUUCCAAAAAAUGAAAGUUCUGGAUUAGAUAUUACUGAAACGGGUACAGCUUGCCAUCAAAUGUAAAAGCCGGCGCUUGCUAAUUAGGCCAUCAUUUAUUUAGAUCAGGCAGUCCAAAUGACAGUGGGGAGACUCGCUAGCUGUUGCACACAUGCACAGUGGGCAUUGUUUUACUCCAACAAUCCGAAUGGCUGUUUACAUGCACGUCAGUAGGAGUGAUGAUCGGACAAAACCACCUCUCUCAAUCAGAUUGAAAUUACACUCUUGUCUGCUGAAUUGGAUCAGAAUGUUAUGAUUGACAUGUUUACAAGCAGAAAUUUUUAUUUGAUUGGGCUUUCAAUCAGAUUAAUUGUGCACAUGUAAAUGUGGCUAUUGAUCAGAUCUAGUGAAAGAUUUGAGCUUUAGUUAACGUUGGGUUCUGAGCGUCCUCUAUUCCCAAGUUACACAUAAGCAUGAACACAAAUUAAGAAACAAAAACAAUAAAACACACAUUCACUCUUUUCUCAAGACCAAAACAAUCUUAUGAUCAAAGUAAAGCUUUAACAGGCAUCAGACUUGGUUGCAUUCGAUGAGUCAGCGCUUAUGAAGAUAAAAGAAGGGAGGCCUCCUUCGUUUUAACAGAAAUCCAGCAAAGAGAUUUUAAAACUUCUAAUUAAUAAUAAAGGUGUGAAAUUUGAUUCACCUCCUGACUGGCUGGACAUUAUAUGUAACAUAAUGUAACUGGUUACUUUUAAAAAAUAAUAAGAUGUGGAAUUCCAUAUAAAUAUGAAUUAUAUUAUUUUGGUAGUUGAUUUAAAAUUAAACCAGGUCUCUUGGUAGUCCGUGGAAAUCACACCUUCAUAAUAAUUUGAGACAGAAGCUCUAAUGCUACUAAUACCAUAUUAAUUCUAUAUUUAUACUGCUAAUGAUAACACAGGAAAAAAGAUAUGAAUGAUGGUCGAAACAAGAUAGUGAAACAAUGAAUAAAAUGCUAGAAUGUAAGCUGUAAGAUGACAUGUAGCAAAACCUAAUUAAGUGCCUUAGAAAAUUGUGAUGUUGAGCUGGCUCGGGCAUCUAGUUAGGAUGCCUCCUGGAUAGGUUUAAUGGAAGGUCUAAAGGAAGACCCAGGACACUUGCUGGAGGGACCGUUUCUCGGCUGGUCAGGGAAUGCCUUGAGAUUCGCCAAGAACAGCUGGCCAAAGCGGCUCAGGAGAGGGAAGUCAGCGCUGGAUAAUUGGCUAACAAUGGAUGGAUAUUUAUUGAUCGUCUACUUGAAGGUGUUUGCCUUGGAGAGUAAUGUGGAUGAGACCAUGUGCUCUCUGAAGAUUGCUCAGGUUUGUAAGGUUCAGUCCCGCCUCCAGGAAGAUAGAAUCUGACAUUGGGCAGUGAGACCAACCAAACUUUAAAGGAAGUUGAAUCCUCGUUGAGAGGAGCCAGUUGAGGUGACUCGGGCAUCUGAUCAGGAUGCCACCUGGACACCUCCCUGGUGAGGUUUUCCAAGCACAUCUAACUGGGAGGAGACCCAAGGGAAGAUCCAGGACAUGUUGGAGGGACUAUUGGGCCAUUCCCAUCUGUACUGGGUCGGCCCGGGCCGGGUAGCGUAGGUUGUUUACAUAUCUGGGUGGCCUGGUAUUUUUCCAGGCCAACCAAGGCUCAUUCUCAGCCCUCUUCUCGAGGGGGUCCGCUUCAGGCCGACCAGGGCCAACACACCCACUGCUGACAGCAAAUUCACACCUUCCAUUAGAGCAAGCCUCUGAUUGGUGGGUAGAAUCAGCCCACAUGGGCUUAAGGCAAGGAUGUGUGGAAUCAACUGGGCCAGGCUGGGGCCGACUGGGGCUACCCGGCCCGGGCCGACCCGGUACAGAUGGGAAUGGCCCAUAUGUCUCUUGGCUGGCCAGGAACCGCCUUAGAAUUCCCCUGGAGGAGCUGGCCCACGUAGCUUGGCAGGGGGUGUCUGGGCCUCUCGGCUUAGGCUGCUGCCCCUACGACCAGUCUCCAGAUAAGCAGUUGAAAAUGGAUGGAUGGCUGAAUCCUCUCCAACCCACCAGCCAAUCCUACUGCUAAAGAAUCAGCUGGAAUCCUGGACAAAGGGCAAAAUCUGGAGGUAUUGCGUUUCAGGUCAAAUUCAGGUCCUCUUUGCUGUGUUAACCCUUCAUUAACAGAUAAUCCGCAUGAUAGUGUUUAUUUUUCCAUUUAUUUUGAACCUUAAUGCUUCUUUGAAACACUGUUGGUUUAUUUGACUUAAUCUGGAACAUGUCAUGUGUUCCUGGAUCCUCACAGCAUUUACAACUGCUUCUACAUCAACAGUCACAAACUCAGCACUUAAGUGCAGUGCAGUAUUACUGGUUUGCUUUUAAUUGUGUGCUCCAGUGUAAUAUAAACAUCAGACCAGGAAUAACUAAGUUCAUGCAGAUUUUGUGACUUUUAUUAAAGCUAAGUGCUUCAGCUUUCAGAGCAGGUGGCCUAACAAGUGCUGGUCAUGAAAUUAGAAUAUCAUGAAAAAGUUUAUUUAUUUCAGUAAUUCCAUUCAAAAAGUGAAACUUGUAUAUUAGAUUCAUUAAUUACACACAGACUGCUAUAUUUCAAAUGUUCAUUUUAAUUUUGAUGAUUAUAACGAAAAUCCCUACAUUACUACCUCUGAAUAUUAAAAUAUUGUGAAAAGUUUAAAUAUUGAAGACCCCUUGUGCCGCACUCUAACCAGCUAAUUUACUCAAAACACCUGCAAAAGUCUUUAAAGAGCAAGUAACGUCUAAAUUAACUUUUUUUUGCUGAUGAACUGUAUAAAUGAGUGUCUAAUAGUGUUUUAAAUGUGUGUAUUCAUUAUUUUAGCAUUUUGGUGCAUUUUCUUUAAAAAUUAAAAAUUCUGCCUAAAUACCACAGUAUAGCUCCACCUUCAGCUUAAAACAUAGAAUUUGACUCAUUUUGAAUAAAUUUUUGCCAAUGGCUAAAGAGUAAGAUACUACGUAAACCAGUAGAGUACUACGUAGCAGCUCUGUGUCAAAGUUAUAAAAGCAUCGGGAGUCUCGGCCACGCCUUGUGGCGAGUUGGGAGUUGGAUUUGCAUGCGAGUGUAGGAGGCUAGCUGUAGUUCAGCAUUAGCAUAUAGCAUUAGCAUAUCCUAGUCUUUAGCAUAGCUUUUAGUGUUAUACAUACUUAUUUAGUGUUAGCUUGGCUGUUGGAUAUUGUAGUUUAGUUACUGUUUGGCUGUUAGUGUAAUUAGGAAAGUAGUUCGGGUUUAGUGCUCCAUAUCGUGUUAGCAUGGUGAGAUGGUGUAGUGUAGUAUGGUUGCGGAGCUCUGUCGGGUUGCACUCCUUUCCGCUGGACUUAGAAAUUAGGCGCCAGUGAUUGCGUGUCUGGAAAAGAUUCAGCUCCCGCCUAGUGCUGUAGUUUGCAACCAGCAUUUUACCCGCGAUUCUGCACGUCUCCGUUCCAAGAGGGAGGCUGUGCCCACCGUGGCUCUUCCGCGAUUUAGAUGCAGCCCACCGACUCUGCUCCCCCACCAUGGCGGGCUCCAGUCUGAGGUGAGUCAGCUAAAUAAAAGUUUUAACAUCUUCUAAAGACAAUUCCAUUCCUAAAUGCAAAGUUUGAGAGACGUGGUUCACUCCAUUUAGCUAAUAUCAGCCAUCGGGCUGAUUUGUCAAGUUCACAAAAUGUGGAACGGGAUGUAAGGUUAGAAUCAGCGGCGAAUCGGAACAUAGCUCGAAGCCCUGGCCGACAAAACGGUCCACAUGUCUGUCAGGCUCAGAGAAAAUUCGAGUUGUUUUUGUGUCAGUCGGUAAUUCUGCAACAGUGGCUCUAACUAAUGCAGCACUAGUUGACAGACAUCAUUACAGCGUGAAAUCCAGCACAGCGUGACCCGGUUCCGUGAGGAAUUCUGUUCAGGAGGUCGCAUUUCAGGAUCUCCACAUCAUAUGUGACUGACUUGUACGUUAUAAUAACAUCACACACUAGGAAUGUUAUAAAGCGCCUAUAUGGGACAGUUUCUUUUGUAUUUUAUCUGACUUUAUAAACAUCAAUGUGCUUCUAUUUUUUUUUUCAGGCUAAAUCUACCCAAGACACUGGCUGUCAGACUGAUUUAGUAAUCUGCAAGAAUGCACUUGUCCAGGCUGACGUGGUGUUACCCGUAGCAAAGAGCUCACAGCCUCAGUGUCUUGUGACACAGGGACCAUGACAGAAAUUCAUCUUCCAGAAGGUCCCAGAGCAUCCACACCUCCUGAAAAGACCACGAUGUGAGGUGUCUGCUGUUGAUUCCAGCUUCCACCUCAGUGACAGUGCAAGCUCAGUGAACUGUUCAAGGAGGCUACUGAUUCUGGCCCUGUGACACUUGGUGGUGACGUGUGAGCUGAUUCACCUGGACACUCAGCAAAAUAUGGACUCUACACCAUGAGGCAGGCACACGUUAAUAACUCUAAGAGCACAUAAGGUGAGCAACACCACAUAUUAUUUUUAUUACUGUACACUGUCCUGGAUUUGUUUUCUUUCUGCAUCUCAUCAUUAGCCUGGCUGAUCACCUGAUAACUCCUGUCAUCUGGUUAUGACAGCAUGAGGAUGUCCUCACACACCUGUCAUCUGGUUAUGACAGCAUAAGGAUGUCUUCACACACCUGUAACCUAUCAGCUCAUCUGGCAGAAUAGAGAAGAGACAACACCACAUCUCCUGUUCCUGGAAAGCCUUCAGCCAUCCUUCGAUGACUGAGAACCCCCAUCAGCUCUGUCUCCUGUCUGCCUACAAUUAUUAUAAUAAAUAUUGUGUUUGACAAGUUUUU